UAACUGCUUCCCCUAGUAGCGGCGAGCGAAGCGGGAAGAGCUCAAAUUUAUAAUCUGGCACCUUCGGUGUCCGAGUUGUAAUCUCUAGAAAUGUUUUCCGCGUUGGACCGCACACAAGUCUGUUGGAAUACAGCGGCAUAGUGGUGAGACCCCCGUAUAUGGUGCGGACGCCCAGCGCUUUGUGAUACAUUUUCGAAGAGUCGAGUUGUUUGGGAAUGCAGCUCAAAUUGGGUGGUAAAUUCCAUCUAAAGCUAAAUAUUGGCGAGAGACCGAUAGCGAACAAGUACCGUGAGGGAAAGAUGAAAAGCACUUUGGAAAGAGAGUUAACAGUACGUGAAAUUGUUGGAAGGGAAACGCUUGAAGUCAGACUUGCUUGCCGAGCAAUCGGUUUGCAGGCCAGCAUCAGUUUUCCGGGAUGGAUAAUGGUAGAGAGAAGGUAGCAGUUUCGGCUGUGUUAUAGCUCUCUGCUGGAUACAUCUUGGGGGACUGAGGAACGCAGUGUGCCUUUGGCGGGGGUUUCGACCUCUUCACACUUAGGAUGCUGGUGGAAUGGCUUUAAACGACCCGUCUUGAACA
rnacentral:rRNA from 1 species